CCUACGGGAGGUGCAGUGGGGAAUAUUGCACAAUGGGCGGAAGCCUGAUGCAGCAACGCCGCGUGCGGGAUGACGGCCUUCGGGUUGUAAACCGCUUUCGCCUGUGACGAAGCGUGAGUGACGGUAAUGGGUAAAGAAGCACCGGCUAACUACGUGCCAGCAGCCGCGGUGAUACGUAGGGUGCGAGCGUUGUCCGGAUUUAUUGGGCGUAAAGGGCUCGUAGGUGGUUGAUCGCGUCGGAAGUGUAAUCUUGGGGCUUAACCCUGAGCGUGCUUUCGAUACGGGUUGACUUGAGGAAGGUAGGGGAGAAUGGAAUUCCUGGUGGAGCGGUGGAAUGCGCAGAUAUCAGGAGGAACACCAGUGGCGAAGGCGGUUCUCUGGGCCUUUCCUGACGCUGAGGGGCGAAAGCGUGGGGAGCGAACAGGAUUAGAUACCCUUGUAGUC
rnacentral:rRNA from 1 species